UCCAUCUUGGAAGUGACCACUUGGUUGGGCAGCAGAGAUCCUCUUCUAUCUGUGACCCUCCAAAAUCACCAGGAGAACUCAGGGUUCACCAGAGCAUAGCUGUGAAGGUAAUUUGGCAAGAACCCAGAUUUAGUAGAGAAAGCCAGUUUGAGUUACUAAGAUAAAAGACGUCUUUAGUUUGAAGUCCAAGACUGGGUAGCCUCACUUGGUGUGGCCUGUGGUGAGGACAGAUGGUGGCACACAGGGGAAAGAAUAUGUAUGAGGACACGAGGCCCCUCUUGAACUGGGGAAGAAAGAAGGACAAGUCCCAUGGAAGGACACAGCCCCAAGGACUGAGGGACCCUCACCAGACCUCAUUAUCAAACAUUCUGUCACUUCCCAAUAGCAACAUCUGCAAAACCAAGGCUUCAGCCACAAUAGUCCCUGGGACACAUACAGUUAAACAACACCCAGAUCACAGCACAUCCUGACCUGUCACCUCACAGUGCUUCUCCCGCAAGUUUGGUGACCAUCUGUCUUGCCUAUGAUCUGCCUUGCUUCAUAAUGGCUUCACUCUUGUCUUCCACAAUGGAGUCAGGGCAAGAGUCCUCCAAUGUGGAAAGAUCAGGCAGGAAGGAACUGAUACUAAGGGAAGGUUUUAAAAAUCAUCUCAAGCCUUCUCCAAUAGCUUGGAUCUGAAGUGUGCCCUAAAGCAGGCCCCCACCCCCACCCCCGUGAGAAGUCUGGUCCCCUGUGUGCAUGCUGGGCAGGGGAGGACCCUUUAAGAGGUGGGCCUGGCUGGCCAGAGAAAGUGGAGCCACUAAGUCUGUCACCAGGAAAUGGUCUCUUCUGCAAGUGCUUAGUCUCCCAGAAAGGAGAACUUUAAAACACACACAGACUCCAUGAUUGAACGAGUUUGAGAAAUUAAAACAGCACUGCAGGCAUGCUGCGGAGAAAAGGGAGCCGCACAGGUGGAGAGAAGAGCCAUGCUGUCUGAUCUAGAGACCAGGAAGUGGGCAGGUUCAGCCUUGGAGUUCUGCACCCAGCUUGGUGUCAGCCGCAUCAAGAUGAAGCUGACUAUCUCUUUGCAUCCACCAGCUGUCAGGAACUCACAGAAGUGGACAAUGACCACAGAUGUCAUGCUUUCCAUGAGAAGAAGUAGCUGCUGAUACUCUAGGUGAAGAGUGGAAGGGUCAUGUGGUCCGAAUCAGUGGUGGGAAUGACAAGCAAGGUUUUCCCAUAAAGCCAGGUGUCUUGACCCUCUGCAGAGCACUGGUGAAUGAAGGGCAUUCUCAUUCUAGACCAAGGAGAAGUAGAGAGAAGAAGUGUGAGUCUGUUAGGGGGUGAAUUGUGGAUGCCAAGCUGAGUGCUCUCAAAUUGGUUAUUGUGGGAGAGAUAAAAGGAGAGAAGGAAAAUCCUGGACUGACAGAUACCACUGUGCUCAGCAGUUGGGGCCCACAAGAGCCAGCAGUCUGAAAGCUUUCCAAUCUCUCUACAGAUGAUGUCCACCAGUAUGUGGUCAGAAAGCCCUUAAACAAAGAGGGUAAGGAGCCCAGGACCAAAGCAGCCAAGAUGCAGCAGCUUGUUACAACACACUAAGAAAAAUGAGGAGGAGGCUGUAGAAUAUGCUAGACUUUUGGCCAAGUGAAUGAAGGAAGCCAAAGAAAACACCAGUAAUGGAUUGCCAAGAGACAGAGGCUGUCCUCCCUGAGAGCUUCACCUUCUGAAUCCAAUAAAAAACCAACAAAUCUAAAAGCAACAAAUAAAUGAUCAGACCUUGAAGAGAGAAAAAAAAGACUACUGCUCACACCAUGAAGUUGUUCACACAUGAAGUUCACACCAUGAAGUUGUUCACACCACGAAGUUGUUCACACCAUGAAGUUGACACCUAUGAUUCCAGCUCUUGGGAGGCUGAGGCAGGGAUGUUGCAAGCUCCAGGUCACCUGGGUUACACUGUGAGAUUGCUCAGGACGAAAAUUGCUUCUCUGGAUUCUAUCUAUUGCUGUUCAUCAUAUUAAAAGCAAAGACACAGAGCUUAAAAUACUAUAAAAAAUAAAUCUAGUUCAGGUCGUGUCUUAUGAAAAUAAGUAUGUUUUCAAAACAACACAGCUAUUCUUUUAUAAAUCUCUAAAGUUCAUUAAUACUUGGGCCAACAGGAGCCAGGGGUUGUCGGAUCUAGUUCAGCAUUGUUUGAUCUGUUGCUCUGAUUGUUUGGGGCCCUUUAACCUCCUGUAGCUAGAGAGAGGAGUGUUUAAACCACUUUUCCCCAAUCAUCGUAGGCAGCGUUCUUUCAUACUACACCAGAACAUGGCAAGUAGAAGUCAAAGUUUCCAUCCUUAACUUGCAAAUUAAAAUCUACCUUGCACCUUGAAGAGAGCUUACAACUACCUUCAUUCCUCUGUCUUCAUACACUGGUCUUCACUGGAUGGUGUAGGAUCACCGAGUGUACAUCUUUCCAGUGCUGACGUAUCCAGUAUGCAACGCAGCAAACCGGUCAGCUUUGUUAAUACCAGCAGAGCCCCCAUGAAACCAUUUAUUUAUAUUCGUAGCAGCUAUUACACCAAGAAGUACCAGGGGCUAAGUGUUAUCUAAGACAUUGAAUGCAGUUUCAUACAAGACUUUGUUGAUUACAAUAUUUUUCAAAUCUUUUUUUUUUUUUCAGGGCCUCACUAUGCAGCCCAGGCUUGGCUCAAACUUAGUCAUCCUGCCUCAACUUUCCCUAGCUCUGGGAUUACAUGUGCCCAGCACCAUGCUCGAGAGUUUUCCUUCCUAAACUGAUGCUUGUGGAUGCUCUCUGCACUCCUAUCCCAGCAUCAGGGACAUGCUUUGGGUUUCUGUCGACAGGUUCUUCUAGAGAGAGAAGUGCACCAGAGUCGGUCUGGUCUGGAGAUGAGCCCAUCUGAACUGCUGCCUUAUUUCCAUGGCUUUCCUUGGCUCUGGGAUCCAUCCAUCUCUGCCUUGUUUUACCCAGCACUGCUUGCUGGGACUCUGGCUAUCGUUCAGAAGUGCCUUCUCCUGAGCAGCUUUCUUAACCUUCACAAAGAAUUCCUAACAUCCUCGUAAAGCUGUACUGUUGCAUGGGCAUCUUGAUGAUGUGCUCCACGAGGGCACCUGAAGUUCUUGCUGUCACCUGCAUCGGUCAGAGCGUCCCAGACAGGCACACCUCUUUGUGUCCUCGCUCUUCUCCUACCCCUGCUCUCAUUAAAAGUGAUCUGUAAUCUCCCCUCCUAAACACGUCCCCACUGGACGAUUUGCUUUGGAACUCUCAGGCCUCUGAGUUAGCUGAGAUCAGACCCCUCACAGCUGGCUAAGUCUAGCACCUUAUUCCAUUUCCUACGAACUUCAGAAGAAAGGGAUCCUGGCCUCCCAAGUUUCCUCUCAUUUCUACGCCCACACUAACAUUGCUAAAAGUAACCACAUAGCUGCGCCCUUCUGAAGGUUAGCAGCAGGGUGGGACUUGAUUUCAAACCUCUACUCUUUGUCAGGAUGAAUGAAGGCCCUUGACUCUGUGAAUCAUAUCUGAGCAUGUUGUGUAGUCCAUACUGAGUAAACAGACCCCAGUCCUCCUAUGUGGGUGGCAUUGUGUACGUAUCAUGCUUCAUUGUAGCAAAACUCCAUGUUCUAGUGCUUCCUUGCUCCUCUGUGGCUGUAAUAAUUCUAUUACCUUGCUAAUAGCAAAAGCAACUAACAUUGAUUACUAACAUUUACAUUUCCAGAAAUGUGCUGUUUAAUAGCUAGCACAAAAUACACAUACAUAAAUGAA